ACACGUCUACAUUAGAUACCCGUGUACGUCCCAGCCGUAAACUAUGCGCGUUAGGUGUAUCGGUGACCACGAGUCACCGAGGUGCCGAAGGGAAACCGUGAAACGUGCCGCCUGGGAAGUACGGUCGCAAGGCUAGAAACUUAAAGGAAUUGGCGGGGAGCACCACAACGGGUGGAGCCUGCGGUUUAAUUGGACUCAACGCCGGGAAGCUCACCGGAUAAGACAGCGGAAUGAUUGCCGGGCUGAAGACUCUGCAUGACUAGCUG
rnacentral:rRNA from 1 species